rnacentral:misc_RNA from 1 species
AAGAAAGAAUUAGUGUAUCCCUGCUUCAAGCCUGUAAUUAAUUAUUAUCCAGCUUCCAAACUGAUGACAGCAAAAAGGAAAAAGAAAAAUAAUUAAUUACAGGCUUGAAGCAGGUAUACACUAAUUCUUUCUUCUGUCAAGGCUCAGUGCAACAGGCAACUAACCUUGUCCAAGCUCCAAGCUCUUGCUUGUCAGUGGGAAUUGAAAGCAACUGAAGAGAGUUGCUUCUUUGUUUCUAUGUUUGGUGCCAUCAAACAAUCCUGUUCAAAGGAAUUCUUUCACUUUGUCGAGCAAUCCGUUCCAGAGGCAUAAUCAUUUGCGGCAUUGUCAUACCUCCAGAGACAAUGAUCUCUAUGCCUUCUCGUAUUGACAGAUUUGGUCUUAUGAUGUCCUUAGAGUUCACAAGGAAUAUAUCGCCAAUGUACAGGUGAUUUGUUGGGACAAAAACACUGCAUAACUCUUCAUCUUCAUUAUCUCUCUGAAGGAUUACUGUUGAUGUGAUAAAACCAAAUGCAUA